rnacentral:tRNA from 1 species
GGACGCGUAGCUCAGCGGUAGAGCAACCGGCUGUUAACCGGUUGGUCACUGGUCCGAUCCCAGUCGCGUCCGCCA